UGUAUUAGAUGUUUGGCAUAUAAAGUG
rnacentral:sRNA from 1 species